UUCAAUUCAGUGUUAAUUUCGUUAACGAAAAAUAUGACGAAAAAUGUUUGUCAACAACCUUUUUUCCGUGACUAAGACGAGACGUUGACGAGCUAAAAAUAGAUCUUUACUAGGGCUGUCACUUUUUAUUCGAAGUUCGAAUAUUCGUUCGAAGGUGGGGUGAAAAGUUCGAAUUCGAAGUGUAAUUCUCCAUUCGAACUGUGUGUGCUGCCGUCUCAUAAGAACUUCAGACCAUUUUAAGUAGUCUGCUUUCGAUCCAGCAGAGGGCGCGCUGAAAUUUUAUAUCAGUUUGACCUGUUGCCGACCCUCUUGGCCUGGCUAUCUGUAUCGAAUGUUGAAUCAACAUUCGAUACAGAUAGGCCAAGAGGGCUUUGAAACAAAACGUAACUGAAGAGAACGCGAACCGAGAUACGGCUAUUAAAAAACUGCUAUUAAAAAUGGAGAAUUGCGAGGAGUACAAUGCUGAGCGGACCAUAACGACACCAUCACAUUUAAAAAGCAGCGUAUGGAAGCAUUUUGGCUUUUACACCGUGGGUGGAAAAGUCACAAACAAAGACAAGGCCGUUUGUCGUCUUUGUAAAAGAGAGCUGUCGUACUUAUCGACAACAUCAAAUGUGCGCACUCAUCUGCUAGCUUACCACCGAAAUGUAGCAGCAGAGGAACAACUGCCGAGCGGAGCAGCACAGAGCACAGAGUGUACAGCCGCGCGUGACAGCAUUCUAUUCGGCUCACUCAGCAGGCCCCUUACCUUGACGCCCCUUCCUCUUGUUGUGUUUACAAAUGUGUUAUCAAAGAUGUGUUUUUAUCCUGUGCUGUUAUGAAUUCAGUAGGUAUACGUGAUUUCCACAAGAAAU